rnacentral:rRNA from 1 species
AGCGAACGCUGGCGGCAGGCCUAACACAUGCAAGUCGAACGAACUCUUCGGAGUUAGUGGCGGACGGGUGAGUAACACGUGGGAACGUGCCUUUAGGUACGGAAUAACUCAGGGAAACUUGUGCUAAUACCGAAUGUGCCCUUCGGGGGAAAGAUUUAUCGCCUUUAGAGCGGCCCGCGUCUGAUUAGCUAGUUGGUGAGGUAAAGGCUCACCAAGGCGACGAUCAGUAGCUGGUCUGAGAGGAUGAUCAGCCACAUUGGGACUGAGACACGGCCCAAACUCCUACGGGAGGCAGCAGUGGGGGAUCUUGCGCAAUGGGCGAAAGCCUGACGCAGCCAUGCCGCGCGAAUGAUGAAGGUCUUAGGAUUGUAAAAUUCUUUCACCGGGGACGAUAAUGACGGUACCCGGAGAAGAAGCCCCGGCUAACUUCGUGCCAGCCGCCGCGGUAA